rnacentral:rRNA from 1 species
UUUUAUGGAGAGUUUGAUCCUGGCUCAGGAUGAACGCUGGCGGCGUGCCUAAUACAUGCAAGUCGAGCGAACAGACGAGGAGCUUGCUCCUCUGACGUUAGCGGCGGACGGGUGAGUAACACGUGGAUAACCUACCUAUAAGACUGGGAUAACUUCGGGAAACCGGAGCUAAUACCGGAUAAUAUAUUGAACCGCAUGGUUCAAUAGUGAAAGACGGUUUUGCUGUCACUUAUAGAUGGAUCCGCGCCGCAUUAGCUAGUUGGUAAGGUAACGGCUUACCAAGGCAACGAUGCGUAGCCGACCUGAGAGGGUGAUCGGCCACACUGGAACUGAGACACGGUCCAGACUCCUACGGGAGGCAGCAGUAGGGAAUCUU